rnacentral:rRNA from 1 species
UACGUAGGGUGCGAGCGUUGUCCGGAUUUAUUGGGCGUAAAGAGCUCGUAGGCGGUUUGUCGCGUCGGCCGUGAAAUCUCCACGCUUAACGUGGAGCGUGCGGUCGAUACGGGCAGACUUGAGUUCGGUAGGGGAGACUGGAAUUCCUGGUGUAGCGGUGAAAUGCGCAGAUAUCAGGAGGAACACCGAUGGCGAAGGCAGGUCUCUGGGCCAUAACUGACGCUGAGAAGCGAAAGCAUGGGGAGCGAACAGG